ensembl:snoRNA SNORA71 Small nucleolar RNA SNORA71
CCCUGUAUCGAAAGUGACAUGGCCUUGCUGUUGCCAUAGUCAUUGAUAGUACAGGAACAGUGACUUUGAAAGCUUUUCCCGUGUUUGUUGGAAAAUCAGUUCCCCUCAAACCCUGUGUCUUUCAAACA